rnacentral:tRNA from 3 species
GGAGAGAUGCAGGAGCGGCUUAACUGGCACGCCUGGAAAGCGUGUGUACCUCAAAAGGGUACCGAGGGUUCGAAUCCCUCUCUCUCCG